rnacentral:rRNA from 1 species
UACGGGGGGGGCAAGCGUUGUUCGGAAUUACUGGGCGUAAAGGGCGCGUAGGCGGUUUGCUAAGUUGGAUGUGAAAACUCUGGGCUUAACCCAGAGCCUGCAUCCAAAACUGGCAAACUUGAGUACUGGAGGGGAAAGCGGAAUUCCUGGUGUAGCGGUGAAAUGCGUAGAUAUCAGGAGGAACACCGGUGGCGAAGGCGGUUUCCUGGCCGAGUACUGACGCUGAGGCACGAAAGCGUGGGGAGCGAACGGG